rfam:Lyngbya majuscula 3L genomic scaffold scf52025, whole genome shotgun sequence.
GUUUUACUGGGAAGUUGGUGACUGCCAAUAGUGUUUUUUGAUCUAUGCUCAUAUAUAUAAGGGAACUAAUCGGAUUUGCGGCAGUAGACUGGGAAAAUACCCAGAAACUUCAAGCGAUAUUCGACAGUGCCCACCUGGUUAGCCAGGUCAUAAACUGAGGUAAGACGGCUUCUUGGUGAACCU